CGUGGGCGCAUCGCCACCGAGCCUGGGGGACAGUGACACUCCUGUGCGGUGGUGGCACAAGUGACAGGCUGCACGGUGCCACGGGCACCUGGAUGUGCAUUUCAGCACGGUUGGGUGGUGGCACAAUGCUGCAAGGUCGCCCGGCUGCAGGAGGGGGCUUUGUGCCCUCUCGUGGCUGGCGCUCGCAGGAGGCUGCGCGGGGGCUGCCCGGCCCGUUGCGCACGGGAGCUUUUCAACAAGAGGAAAUAAAACGCUGGGGCGCGACGGAGAAACCUCCCAAUUCACAACGCCAAGGUUCCCCGGGGAAAAAACGCGAAGGGAGGAUUGCGACGAGGAAGUGAAUCUGUUAUCGGGAGCAGUUUGAUAAAUAAAAACGCAUCCAAAAUCUUCCGCGCGGCACUUGCCAGCUCUUGUUGAGUUUACGGUCCUGUGCGGGCAGUGAGCCAGGAAAGGGCCUGGGGAUCCUGGUGCCAACAUUUCCACAGCCUUCAGCCAAAAAAAGGCUGUUGUGAACUGAGCAGCUUCGACGUCCCUGUGCGCGGUGCCGCUGGUUGGCAGUGCCUGAAGGCUGUGCAGGACACGGGAUCCAGAGCAGGCCCUCUCUGAUCUCCCGGCCACCUUGUCUGCCGGGACGCUGCCUGUCUUCUCCCUCCGUUAGCACUUCUUCAUCUGCAGCUCUGAUAACACAACCCACCGGAGAGCGCCGCUUUUCAAGAGUUUCCCAAUCAUUUUGAAAGGUCCCCGAUGUGGGUGCCCGGCUGGACGGGGUCACGUUCGCCAAGAGCAAGCGAUGCCACCGCGAUGGGCACCGAUGUGCUCACCCCAAGGAGCCAAACCUGGCUGCCCCACAGGCACCCCAUGGGCACAGCUGGUCCCCAGGGCUGCUGGGGUGCAUGAGAGCCGCCGGCUGCCCUGGCAGAUGCAGAUGAAAGUGUUCUGGGCUGUCACCGGCGUUAUGGAUGGGCUGCGAGCGCUCGUGGGGAGCGUCGUGCAGACACUGCGGAUGUGGAGGGAGCCUCCGCGCUUCCGAGCCCUGAUUGAUGAGAUGCGAGGGCCGGCCGCUGCACUCACUAUAUCACCACUGCCUCAACCUCUGCCAGGGGCGAGGGGUGUUGGAGCCCUGGAGAUGACUGGCUGCACUGAGGAAGGGAAGGGUCAUUGUUCCUGGGGCCAGGAAGAGAUACCAGGGGUCCCGGGGGAGCUGACUGCAUAUUUGGCAGUUCCCCAGGGACUGGGGGGACUAACAACAGCCCGGGGGGAGCCGUGGCACUGUGGCUGUGCAUCUGCAUGGCUGAAGAUGCUCUGUGGAUCAUGGCCAAAGGAGCUUUUAGCGGCUGUCAGUGCAGAAGAGGUGAGGGAGGCACAUCCCCGAGCUCAGGAGCUGCCACCAGACACUGUGGUACACAUACAUGUGGUUUGAAUUGUUUUCUGGGGGCACAGAGGGUUCCCCCUGGCCAGGUGCAUUGGGCAGCCCUGUCCCAUGGCCAUACCUGCCAGCAUCCCUGAAGCAAACCAGGGAUUUAUCCUGACACCAGGACAGAGCAAACUCCCAGGGCAGCAUUCCCCAAAACUGCCUGUGCCCCGUGCAGGGGUUCACCCGGAGCACCCUCCGCCAGCCCUUGCCCUCAUUUUCCCUUAAUUACAACCUCCCCUGGAGCCCUUGGACUCAAGCAACCGAGCUCCUUCAUAGUCCACGCAGAGCAACAGCAGCACGGCGCUGUGUGAGCUCGGUGCUCCCCUCAUCCAUCCCUCCCCCAGCCCCAAACCAUCUCCCCUGGGCAGGAUGGGGUCCCGGAUAGUGGUCGGAGCAUCCCCACGCAGCCCCUUCCCCUGGGACCUCCCCGACCCGUGCAGCACGCAGGCGGGAGCUGCAGCGCGGGCGCCGUGGGUCUCCUGAAGUUUGUUAUUACAAAGAAAGAAAGAAAAUGGCUCAAGGGAUCAGCGGGGAUAAAAAGCGCUUUAGAAACACAGGAGAUCGUUUAACAGGUCACCUCCGCAGCGGAGUUCGCCGAGCUGAUAAAGGCGAGUAAACUUAUUAAAGGGCGCACAGCUUGAUUCGAAACGGCUGCUCCCAAACAGCCAAUUACUCAGGGCCCUUCCAAUCCAAUUAGGGCGGCUGUUUCCCUGAUUACGGCGGUGUGUUUUACAAAUACACCCGGCUCCUCGGGUUCAAAGAGCAAGCCAGAGAAGGGGCUUGGUAAGGGGCGAGGCGGUGCCUGCAGCCAGGAGAGGCGCGGGGAGGCAGAGCCCAGGCGUGUGCCCUGGGAUAUGGAUACAGAUGGGGCUGGGGAUGGCUGAGCCAUGCAAAUAGUGGUGUUCCCCAGAAGAGCAGCCCUGUGCCCGUCCCUAAAGCAGCCCAGCCCAGCUAAGGAGGUGGGUUACGUCUCCAUGGGGGUGUUCAAAUAGGGGCUGGACCCCUGCAGGGUCCCAGCAAAGGCCCUGUCACCCAGCUCAGCCACUCUGUGACAUUACUGAGCCUUUCCCCAGGGACCUGGGGAGUUUUGAGGUUUGCCCUCUGGGCAUUGUAGGUGUCCUGACCUCGAAAUAAUAGCAUUGGGGGAUUUGCCCUAAUCCUCCCUGUGGGAAGAGGCAGCUUUUACAGGGAGAGACCUGGGAUGGCUUUGCAGGAGCUUGGAGCUCAUUAGGGCCAGGCUCUUGGUGUUUUCAUGGAUGUGGGCACAGGGACUGCCAGGAGGAUGAAGGAGGAAAGAACCAUGUCUCUUCCUAACCAGGAUCAUGGGUGCUGCAGUGCAGCAAACGGAUCUGAUCCUGUCCAGAGCAGGGGUGUCCCAUCACCUGGGGUGGAGGACACAGCGGGGAGCUCAUCACCGCGGCCACCGGGAGGCUGAAAAUUAACCCACAAACUCCGACCUCCUCUCAAGGGGCUGAGCAGGGCUCGGGAGGCAAAGGGGCCACACGGCACACGUCUGGAGCUGAGCUGGAGCCGCGGCUCCUUCUCCUCCACCGCUCGCUCAGCGCCUGCGCCGCCGUCCAAGCCUUCACCGCAACCGCUCCAACGGGUUCGCUUCAAAAUACUGGCACGCGGCCACCUCUGGGGUGUAGCACAGCCCCUGUUAUUAAAAUGUGUGACAGCAGCUCGAGAUGGAAAGUGAAGUUGUACAUUCUCCAUCUGAAACUCCGUGAGGAAUUUCAAGCAGGGGAAUGCAAUUUCCAGCCUGGAGGAGAGCCAGCAGCGCCAGGGCGAGAUUUUUCUUAAUAUGGUUUUGCAAAACUUGAACGCAGAAAAUUGCCCGUAGCUAUAGCAAUACCAGCGAGCUGGAGACGGCCCCGCUCGGGGAGCAUUUACACAACAAAAACACCCCCAAAGCUGCCUCUCCUGUGCCACACUCCAUGC